AGAGUUUGAUCCUGGCUCAGAACGAACGUUGGCGGCGUGGAUUAGGCAUGCAAGUCGGGGGAAUCCCAGCAAUGGGGGAACCGGCGUAAGGGGCAGUAAUGCGUGGGUACCUACCCUAGGGUUCGGGAUAGCCAUCAGAGAUGGUGGGUAAUACCGGAUGAUGUCGUGAGACCAAAGAUUUAUCGCCCCGGGAGGGGCCCACGUGAUAUUAGCUAGUUGGUGAGGUAACGGCUCACCAAGGCGAAGAUGUCUAGCGGGUGUGAGAGCACGACCCGCGCCACUCGCACUGAGACACUGGCGAGACACCUACGGGUGGCUGCAGUCGAGGAUCUUCGGCAAUGAGCGCAAGCUUGACCGAGCGACGCCGCGUGCGCGAUGAAGGCCUUCGGGUUGUAAAGCGCUUUAGGGGGGGAGAAAAGCCGAAAGGUGUGAUCUAUCCCCAAAAUAAGCACGGGCUAAGUUCGUGCCAGCAGCCGCGGUAAGACGAACCGUGCGAACGUUGUUCGGAAUCACUGGGCUUAAAGGGCGCGUAGGCGGGCUGUCAAGUCUGGGGUGAAAUGCCGCGGCUCAACCGUGGAAUUGCCUUAGAUACUGACGGCCUCGAGGGAGGUAGGGGCGUGCGGAACUGUAGGUGGAGCGGUGAAAUGCGUUGAUAUCUACAGGAACUCCGGUGGCGAAAGCGGCGCGCUGGACCUCUUCUGACGCUGAGGCGCGAAAGCUAGGGGAGCAAACGGGAUUAGAUACCCCAGUAGUCC
rnacentral:rRNA from 1 species